CCCUUAGAUGUCCUGGGCUGCACGCGCGCUACACUGAUGUGUCCAGUAAGCACCUAACCUCUUCCGAAAGGAACGGGUAACCUUUGCAAAGCACAUCGUGAUGGGGAUAGAUUAUUGCAAUUAUUAGUCUUGAACGAGGAAUUCCUAGUAAGCACAAGUCAUCAGCUUGUGUUGAUUACGUCCCUGCCCUUUGUACACACCGUCCGUCGCUCCUACCGAUUGAAUGUUCCGGUGAGCUCUUCGGACUGCGCGGUCUGCAGUUUCUGCGUUCCGUGCGGAAAGUUGCGCAAACCUUAACAUUUAGAGGAAGGAGAAGUCGUAACA
rnacentral:rRNA from 1 species